rnacentral:rRNA from 1 species
UGGAGCCGACCUUGAAAUACCACCCUUUAAUGUUUGAUGUUCUAACGUUGACCCGUGAUCCGGGUUGCGGACAGUGUCUGGUGGGUAGUUUGACUGGGGCGGUCUCCUCCUAAAGAGUAACGGAGGAGCACGAAGGUUGGCUAAUCCUGGUCGGACAUCAGGAGGUUAGUGCAAUGGCAUAAGCCAGCUUGACUGCGAGCGUGACGGCGCGAGCAGGUGCGAAAGCAGGUCAUAGUGAUCCGGUGGUUCUGAAUGGAAGGGCCAUCGCUCAACGGAUAAAAGGUACUCCGGGGAUAACAGGCUGAUACCGCCCAAGAGUUCAUAUCGACGGCGGUGUUUGGCACCUCGAUGUCGGCUCAUCACAUCCUGGGGCUGAAGUAGGUCCCAAGGGUAUGGCUGUUCGCCAUUUAAAGUGGUACGCGAGCUGGGUUUAGAACGUCGUGAGACAGUUCGGUCCCUAUCUGCCGUGGGCGCUGGAGAACUGAGGGGGGCUGCUCCUAGUACGAGAGGACCGGAGUGGACGCAUCACUGGUGUUCGGGUUGUCAUGCCAAUGGCACUGCCCGGUAGCUAAAUGCGGAAGAGAUAAGUGCUGAAAGCAUCUAAGCACGAAACUUGCCCCGAGAUGAGUUCUCCCUGACUCCUUGAGAGUCCUGAAGGAACGUUGAAGACGACGACGUUGAUAGGCCGGGUGUGUAAGCGCAGCGAUGCGUUGAGCUAACCGGUACUAAUGAACCGUGAGGCUUAACCUU